rnacentral:rRNA from 1 species
AACGUAGGUGGCGAGCGUUAUCCGGAAUUACUGGGCGUAAAGCGUGUGCAGGCGGGCAACCAAGUGGUGUAUGAAAUCUCCCGGCUCAACCGGGAAGGGUUAUGCCAGACUGGUUGUCUUGAGUGCGAGAGAGGAAUGUGGAAUUCCGGGUGUAGUGGUGAAAUGCGUAGAGAUCCGGAGGAACCCCAGAGGGAAACCAGUGGACUGGGCAUGUGCUGACGCUCAGGUGCGAAAGCGUGGGGAGCGAACCGG